UACGUAGGGGGCAAGCGUUGUCCGGAAUCAUUGGGCGUAAAGAGCGUGUAGGCGGCUCGGUAAGUCCGCUGUGAAAGUCCAGGGCUCAACCCUGGGAUGCCGGUGGAUACUGUCGAGCUCGAGUCCGGAAGAGGCGAGUGGAAUUCCUGGUGUAGCGGUGAAAUGCGCAGAUAUCAGGAGGAACACCAAUGGCGAAGGCAGCUCGCUGGGACGUGACUGACGCUGAGACGCGAAAGCGUGGGAGCAAACAGG
rnacentral:rRNA from 1 species